CCCUAUCGUUUUUCGUCCUGCCUCCUGCGACGCCUCCCUCCGCAUCCCGCCCGACUCUCUCUCUUGCAACGAAAAAAAGGAAACAAACUCGCUCAAGGAAAGAAACCACCGCCACCCCUCCCAGAUCCGCCUGCGUCUUCCUCCUGAUCCGCCUCCUGAUCCGCAUCCCGCUCGGCACCUGCUGGGAUCGCCGCCGUGCGGAUCGCCGCCCCGCCUGCGCCUGCGUCUUGCUAGGAUCGCCGCCAUGCGGAUCGCCGUCUUGCGCCGUCGGUUCGCUCCCCCGGCUGCGCUCAGCCGGCAGCUGGCUUGCGGGCGUGCGCGCGGCCUUGCGGUAGGUCCCGUGGCUCCCGGCCUCGGCGAACGACGUGGAGGGCGCGCGCGGCCCGCCCAGUGGAGGCGCACGGUGUCGUCGCAACGCGGAUGCCUGGCCCCGACGUGCGAGCGGCUCGGCCCCGAUUGGAGCUUCGCGGGCUCGCAGUCCGUGCGCGCAGAGGAGCAGCGAGCGGGUGAAUCGCGCGACCACGAGGACGCGCCGGGCUUGGAGCAUUCCGACCCCGCGCAGAUCCUGGUGCGGCUCGGCUUCGAGUCCUCUGGUGGCGACCCGGCCAAGGUCCCCAAGGCGCCUCUUGGGCCACCAAGCUAGCCCCACCGGCAACUCACGCCGCCACGCAUGGCCACUGUCGUCGGUCGUCCGUGCCACCGUAGGCCUGCCCUUGUGGAGGAGUACGGCCUUCGGCGACGAUGAGGCGAAGAACGGGUUGCAGCAGAGCGAUGCCGACGAGCCCGAGGCCAAGCGCUGGAGGAUGUUGCAUCUGUGCCCAGAUGGAUAGCGAUGCACGCUCUCCUUCGAUUUGGCGCCUGUGCAGAACUGCAGAUGAGAUACUGCUAUUUGUCUCUUUACGAGUUGAUUGUCAAUAUGUGUUUGCACUUACGUCUGCACUAACUACUUAAAAAUGCUCAAUCUCUGUUAAUUCACAUCAAUGUGUUUUUAACUGAAGUAAUUUUUUAUUAAUUUGAUGAAUUUGGGUUUAAAUUUACACUGCAGGAUAAUGGAGUUUAUGCAAAGUUAACAUAUUCUCUUUAGCAUGUUUCAGAGUAAAACGAUGACCAUAAGACAUGAUAUUCAUUGAUUGGCCAUGAAAUUUGACAUGACUGGAAAAUUAAAAAAUCUAGCUGGUCCAUAGAUUUGAGAAAAUGAUAUAAAUAGUUACUUUCCUGCAACAUAUAUAGAUGAUCUCUUUGUGUUCAUCUUCAUGCCCUGGGCAUUGAGAUAUGGAAGGUAUGACUGGCAGCUUGCUUAUUCUCCCUAUGAAUACAUACAUCAGUUUAUUUUCAACUAUGUCAACAAGGGUGUCAUUCUGCUUUUAAUUUUCCAUGAGUGUCAUUCAGCUUCUAAUUUUCCAUGAAAUUAGCUUUUAGCGCUAUGCCGCUAUGGUCGUUUUAAUUCAUGCUUCAUAUAUAUAUAUCUUAUACGUCUUAUGUAUAUCUUUAGCAUGUUUUUAUGCAUGGUUAUGAGAUGAACUUGUCCUGCUUUCACAUUGGACAUUGGGUGCUCAAUUAUGUUAGUGCCAAUGCCAGCUUUGUCUUAGAAGCAUUCAUUUUUUUCUAAUUACUGUUCAGUAUUCUUCCUAGCUUACGUGUUCCAAAUAGAUCAACCUAUUCUGCUGUGAAUUUAUCCUUUUUAAAUUUUGCACCAAAAAUUAGAGGAUGAUGGCUUAGAUAAAAAUGAUUGCCUUCUGUUUAAAUGAUGCACAGCUUGACCAGUAUUGUUGAGUCCAUAGUAUGGCCACACGACAGAUUGAUGGCGAUGGAGGGACCCGUUUCAUUUUUUGGACGCCUGCAAUUGCCUUCCAAACUCUAUCCUGCUGGCUUUUGGAAGAGCAGAGAUCUUGGAGUUGUUUUGCAGAAGUAUGAAUCCUCACUAUGCAGCAAAGUGUCGUGUUGCAGCCGCAGCCUACUCGAUCCACUCUCUCGGGCAUAUGAGAAGAGCCAGCAAACUUGUGUGCUACUGCAUUAUAUGUGGUCAUUACUUCGAUGGUGGAAAACAAAAAUUUAUCACAUUUAAAGAAUUAACCGGAAUUCGAGUAGAAGCCUGGCAAUAACGGCAAGCAGGAGAUUGUCACACUCUAGACCAAGCCAGUGUUGAAGAUGCAAUCCUUCCUCUUCCAAAUCUCCAAACACAUGAAAAUAAAAGGAAACAUGGUACAGCACACUCAAUGGUGUCAUUGACCUUGCGAUUCAUAGGGACCUCACCACUAUAAGGCUAUUAAUAAAAGAGAUGGUGCUCCGCAUGAAUUUUUGAAGCUCCAUGGUCAUCAUGGCUUAUUUCAGAUUGAAUGAGGAUGGCGACAACUUGUCUGGUGUAAGGCCUGCUGGACAAACUUCUUUUCAUGCUAGAAGAGCGGUUGCUAAGGGACUACCAUUCCUAGAACUGCAAUUAUCACGUUUGUUUUUUUUGUUGUUUCCGUUUCAACGCACGGGUAUAAUCCUAGGCAGUGCUGAUGGAGUUGAUUGUAUUGUCAAAAUAGAGCUAAGAGAGUGUGUGCAUCUGACAAACCACUUUGGGCUAUUUAUUGUUGCUCUAUCUUAAUUUGUAAGUUUGGUUAACCGUGAGAAUUGGCCUAAAGUUUUAGAGAUAUUUUCAAUGACUACUUGAUGAUUCUUUUUCUUUUCCUAUUCAUGGUUUCAUUUUUUUUAUUUCUGUAUAUUUAGAUUGCAAUAUGAACAAGGGAAUUAUGUCAUAUACAGAGGAACUCGAAUUAUGAACUUAUGUCAUGUGAUUCCUGUUCAUUGUUCCAGAGUAGAGAGCUAGGAUCAGCACCCUUGUAGUUGUAUAUGUUUAUGCCUUUCUUCUAUUCUUUUCCUCACAUUUACUAAAUACUAUUGUUCUUCCCACAUUUUCUUGACCUUUUAGGAUUAUUUAUUUAUUUAUUUAUUUAUUUAUUUAUUUAUUUAUUUAUUUAUUAGUAUUCAGUAACAUGACCCCCUUGCAAUUUAGCUGUGAUAAUGAACCUUUAACUUUUAUUGGAUUACAUGUUCAAGAAAUUGAAAAAUAUUACAAAAUUAUCAAGUUAAUUUCAUGUUCACCCGUCACCACCUAUCCAGUUCAUGCCUUCUAUUUAGAUCUUUUAUUAGGUUUGUUGUUAUUUUUUUGUUAUGUCAUGUAUGCAAUGGAAUUGCUGAAAAUUCCUUGACAUAGCAUUGUUCUACAGGAUGCCCUUGCUAUAAAAUCUCAUGUUUGUUUCUUUGUGAUUGUUGAUGGCAGAAGAUAAGAAGCACUCAGAUCAUGCUUUUUAUUUUCCUAUACAAUAGUUGAAACUAAUUUUGUUUAAUAUUUCUCUAUUAUAUGUUAUGGAGCUAUCAUUUGUAUUUAAGAAAACAAAAAUACCAGUAUAUUGGUGUAUAUUCUCUCUUAUGUUCUUGUUAGUUGUAUAGAAUGUGAACUGUAAAAUAGAGACAAGGAAUCCUCAACAUACUCAGGUAAAAAUCUAUUUAUGGGAUGAUAGUAUGUGUGAAGUCAUUUGUAUUCAAACAACAUUGGAAUUCGAAUUUAUAGUCAUCAGAGCUUUGAAUUUGAUUUUA